GCGGUGAUAGUCUAGUUGGUCAGGACGUAUCGUUGUGGCAUCAUCUACGAUCCGAUAAGACCUGAGUUCGAAUCUCAGUCACCGCA
rnacentral:tRNA from 1 species